rnacentral:rRNA from 1 species
GAUGAACGCUGGCGGCGUGCCUAAUACAUGCAAGUCGAACGAGAUUUUAUUAAUUGAUUACUUCGGUAUGAUUUUUCUAGAAUCGAGUGGCGGACGGGUGAGUAACACGUGGGUAACCUGCCCUUAAGUAGGGGAUAACAUUUGGAAACAGAUGCUAAUACCGUAUAAACCUCAGAAACACAUGUUUCUGAGUUGAAAGGCGGCUUUCGAGCUGUCGCUUUUGGAUGGACCCGCGGCGUAUUAGCUAGUUGGUAAGGUAACGGCUUACCAAGGUGAUGAUACGUAGCCGAACUGAGAGGUUGAUCGGCCACAAUGGGACUGAGACACGGCCCAUACUCCUACGGGAGGCAGCAGUAGGGAAUCUUCCACAAUGGGCGCAAGCCUGAUGGAGCAACGCCGCGUGAAUGAAGAAGGUCUUCGGAUCGUAAAGUUCUGUUAUUAGAGAAGAACACGUGUAAGAGUAACUGAUUAUGCGUUGACGGUAUCUAAUCAGCAAGUCACGGCUAACUACGUGCCAGCAGCCGCGGUAACAC